CCAGGUCCCCUCACCAGGUGACUUCACCUGCCUGUGUAGCCCUGUCCAUGGUGCUGAUCCUUACAGCAUUACUUAGCCUGAUGUAGUAGUCAGUGUACAGUAAAUUAUGUCGAGCUAUUAUCUUGAUUAUGGAAAACAUCACAUUCUGCAGUGAGGAGGCAGACAAUAAUAUUACGCUGUUUUGCUUAAGGUGAGGGCUUUUCUUUGAUGUUGAUAUAAAUAGGUGCCAAAACCUACAAUGUUAACAAAGCAGUAAACUGGACAAAAAGAAGAGCAACAUAAACUGGUUUGAAAGUCAGCAGUAGUCUAACCCAGCAUUUCUUAAAGUAUGGGUCGCGACCCAAAGUGCGUCGCGGACCUGGUAAUAGUGGGUAUCGACGUGUCAGAGUAAAUGUAUAAAUAUUUAACUAAUUACUGGAAUUGAUUUGGUCAAGUGCAACUGCUCACUGUUUAGCAGCGGUGUCUCAGCUGUUUGGCAGCUGCUCGAAUGGGAGGAAGAUGUGUACUUCGUCGUUUUCGUGAAGAUCACUCAGCGACCCACACGCUGCAGCUCUGUUGUUCAGCAGCAGAUGAUGUGCUGUCAGCCACUGACUUGUCAUUCCCACUCGCCAUCACUUACCAUUGUCAUCAAAUGUACUCAAACUAGCCACAAGUUCUGACUGAGCUCAAUCGUCAUGAAACGCAAAUACAGCGAUGAGUUUCUCACUCUUGGUUUUGUACAAACUUUGAGAAAUAACGAGGAUCGCCCGCAAUGUGUUUUGUGCAGGGAAGUGCUUAGUAUUGAUUCUCUCAAAACGAACAAAUGAAAACGACACGUCCUGACCAAACAUCCACAGUAUGACGGUAAACCCAGGGAGUUCUUUCAGAACAGGGAAGAAUGCUUCAGGAAACAGUGCUUCGACAGCGGAAGAGUUACAUAAAGGAAUAACACAAACUGAGUGUCCCAUCCCUCACCACCAUGAUACAAACCCACUCUUUGUCUUUAUGAGUGGUCCAUCCAGCCUGCAGUCAGAACCGGGUCCAAGCUCCACUGCCAGAGUCAGAUCCACAAGGACUGGUGACCUCCAGCCUGCAGUCAGAACCGGGUCCAGCCUCCACCACCACAGCCAGCCCACAGGGACUAGUGUCCUUUCCUCUGUAAUUAAUCUAUCUGCUGAGCCUCAUCUCUCUCUCUCUCUCUCUCUUAACCUACUCACAUAUCUGUAGAAAUAACAAACCCUGCACGGUCUCUCCUUAAACAUCUCCCCAUAAUUGCCAGUGAUAUUCGUGUUCACUCCAUUAAGUUGACCACACCGAGUGGGACGCCAGAGAGGGAAGAUGGAUCAGCUGCUAGCGUUGAGAAAAGACAGGGGCCUUGUCUUCAAAGAGGCAGGCAGAGCUUGGAGGAUAAAGUCCCCUCGGGCCUCGCCGACUAACAAUGUCAGGCUCUUGUGUUGGAUGACAGCAGUUUUCCACCUCAAAUUCAUUCAACCAAAUGACCUCAAUAGUCUCAAAACGUGGCGUUCCGAGGAGAAACUCAGACAUCAUAUCUGGGUGUUUGAUAGCGGCCAGUCUGGCAGUCGGUCGGGGGAGAGAGGAGAGGAUGUGGGGUUUAGAUUAGAGCGAGGCGAAGAUGAAGACAGGCUUUUAUAACCAGUCUGGAUGUGAGCCGGGGCCAGAGCUCCUGAAGUAAGCUGUUAAAGAAGCCUUUUAAAAGCACAGGGCUUUGAUGCUGGGAGAGGCUAAUCAUUUUGGUUGGCUAUGUAUCGCUUUAGCAGAACUCUAAAGAAGUCCCAGACAGACUGCCCAAGAAAAAGACCCUCAGAUCUGGCAUGGCUCAGAGUACCUACUGCAUUGGACACAAAGAGACACCUCAACCUAGUCAGUCACCAAUCAGUCAUAUGGCAUAGUACCUGUAUGGUUAGUAGAUCUUGGUAGACUAGAAUCUACUCUAUGGUUAGUAGAUCUUGGUAGAAUAUAAUCUACACUAUACCUGUAUGGUUUGUAGAUCUUGGUAGACUAGAAUCUACUCUAUGCCUGUAUGGUUUGUAGAUCUUGGUAGACUAGAAUCUACUCUAUGCCUGUAUGGUUAGUAGAUCUUAGUAGACUAGAAUCUACUCUAUGCCUGUAUGGUUAGUAGAUCUUGGUAGACUAGAAUCUACUCUAAACCUGUAUGGUUUGUAAAUCUUGGUAGACUAGAAUCUACUCUAUGGUUUAUAGAUCUUGGUAGAAUAGACUCUACCAUAUCUGCAUGGUUUGUAGAUCUUGGUAGAAUAGACUCUACCAUAUCUGUGUAGAGCAGUAGGAAGAUGUCUAGUCUCUAUCGACAGCAGCCUGUGCUUAUAAUGGCUCACUGGGAUCUCAGACAGCUCUACCAUACAUCAACACCUUAUUGGCCACCGAACCCCAACAAACCUCUAGCAUGUUUUCACAGCUUGGAAGCCAGAGGUGAGGGGAGGUCUGGGAAGAGCUGGGAUCCCCACGGUAUGCUUUCCCCCUUUUACUUUGGAACACACACACACACACACACACUCACGCACGCACACACACACUCACACACACACACUUGUGGAAUUCACACAAACACAUUUUUGGAAUUCACUCACACACAAAUUAUUUAUGAAAUUAUUUUAUAAAGCCUUUUUUUACAUCAGCAGAUGUCACAAAGUGCUAUACAGAAACCCAGCCUUAAACCCCAAACAGCAAUGCAGAUGUUGAAGCACAUGCAUGUACACACACUUUGGAAUUCACACACAUACCGACUGUCAUGCAUGCUGUCACGCACACACACAUUUUGAAUUUCACACAUGCACACACACACACACACACACACACACACUGAAAGGCUUUCCCCUAGGGGUGUUUGAAGCUGCCUCUCCAGCCCAUGUUUAUUAUUCCUGAGUGAUUCUCUCCACAGAGACAAUAGAUUUGAAGGGGCACAUGACCCUCUUCCUCGAAAUCUUUGUUUAUAUGUUUUCCCCAACAAAGUAAACAUGCCUUGAGAAAACAAGGCAGAUCGGGUUAGGGCUACACGUUACAUCAUGGACACACAGCGAGGCAGUAUAGUCACUAUUUGUGCCUUCUGACAAUUGUGAGGAGUUAACAAUGAACCAUUCUUGCACCUGCUCUAAACUUGCUUGGUAACAUUGGAAACAUUCAUAUUUUCGACCAUAGCAUGUGAUGAAUGGGAAUGUGAAUGUGGUGAGUUUCCAACAUGAUCAAAAGUAGUGCACUACAUAGGGAAUAGGGUGCCAUUUGGGAAACAUUCUAAGAGAACAAGGGCCUCUCGACCACUGAACCAUCCUGCUCAGCCUUCUGCUACCCAUGAAGCACUCUGCCUGCCACCAGGCAGACCCCACACACCUUGCCAUCCUCCCAUCCUCUGGCUCCUGCAGGAGGCCAAGGCACUGACCCACGGAGGGAAACAGACUCACUACAGAUAACUAUUUUAGACCACAACAGGAGCUACUGAUGUUUUACUGUGCGAUGACUGAAAACCUUAUUUGAGUGAAGUAGCUAGAUGUUUCUGUAGCAGUCACUUCAGGGCAGGAAAUCAUUACAUCAAUAUUGGUUAUGAUGUCAUGUAAUAGCAGGCUGUAGCCAUAGCAACAUAACCUAUAGCUAUCGUACCAUAAAGCCUUACAUUUAAGAACUACAUAUUUCAUUUGUUGUCUAGUACUGUGAGGUGAGGACUCAGAGUAUCUCAAUGUGAGCUCUGUGAGAGGAGAGAAGGUCACACAGAGUGUCUGCAGCUGCAGUCCAGGAUGAAUGGUGGACAGGGGGAUAAAGAUGGGUAGGGGGAUGCAUGGGGGGGGCAGGGGGUGCUCUUGGCCAAAAACAAGAGAGGGACCGAGGCCGACCCACCACUCAGAGACAUGAUGGUGUCCCACCUAACCUGUAGUUCUGCUCCUACAAGAAGAGAGAGACAGACACACAGACACACAGACAGACAGACAGACAGACAGACAGACAGACAGACAUGGACAGACAUGGACAGACAGACUAUUUGCACACAGUGAACUAUUUAGACAUAAUAUGACAUUUGAAAUGUUACUUUUGUGAGUGUAAUGUUUAAUGUUAAUUUGUAUUGUUUAUUUCACUUUUGUUAUCUACCUCACAUGCUAUGGCAAUGUUAACAUAUGUUUCCCAUGCCAAUAAAGCCCUUCCAUUGAAUUGAAUUGACAGACA
rnacentral:lncRNA from 1 species